rnacentral:rRNA from 1 species
UACGGGGGAGCAAGCGUUGUUCGGAUUUACUGGGCGUAAAGGGCGCGUAGGCGGUCCCGUCAGUCCCUUGUGAAAUCCCCCGGCUCAACUGGGGAACUGCAAGGGAUACAGCGGGGCUUGAGUUCGGGAGAGGGAAGCGGAAUUCCGGGUGUAGCGGUGAAAUGCGUAGAUAUCCGGAGGAACACCGGUGGCGAAGGCGGCUUCC